rnacentral:rRNA from 1 species
CUCGUAGGUGGCCAACUAAGUCAGACGUGAAAUCCCUCAGCUUAACUGGGGAACUGCGUCUGAUACUGGAUGGCUUGAGUUUGGGAGAGGGAUGCGGAAUUCCAGGUGUAGCGGUGAAAUGCGUAGAUAUCUGGAGGAACACCGGUGGCGAAGGCGGCAUCCUGGACCAAUACUGACACUGAGGAGCGAAAGCCGAGGGGAACGACGAAC